rnacentral:rRNA from 2 species
GGCGGUUCGCCGCCCGCGACUCGGCGAGAAGUCCAUUGAACCUUAUCAUUUAGAGGAAGGAGAAGUCGUAACAAGGUUUCCGUAGGUGAACCUGCGGAAGGAUCAUUG